rnacentral:rRNA from 1 species
GAUUCGUCACACUAUCAUUAACUGAAUCCAUAGGUUAAUGAGGCGAACCGGGGGAACUGAAACAUCUAAGUACCCCGAGGAAAAGAAAUCAACCGAGAUUCCCCCAGUAGCGGCGAGCGAACGGGGAGGAGCCCAGAGCCUGAAUCAGCAUGUGUGUUAGUGGAAGCGUCUGGAAAGGCGCGCGAUACAGGGUGACAGCCCCGUACACAAAAGCGCAUGUGCUGUGAGCUCGAUGAGUAGGGCGGGACACGUGGUAUCCUGUCUGAAUAUGGGGGGACCAUCCUCCAAGGCUAAAUACUCCUGACUGACCGAUAGUGAACCAGUACCGUGAGGGAAAGGCGAAAAGAACCCCGGCGAGGGGAGUGAAAAAGAACCUGAAACCGUGUACGUACAAGCAGUGGGAGCACCCUUCGGGGUGUGACUGCGUACCUUUUGUAUAAUGGGUCAGCGACUUAUAUUCUGUAGCAAGGUUAACCGUAUAGGGGAGCCGGAGGGAAACCGAGUCUUAAUUGGGCGUUAAGUUGCAGGGUAUAGACCCGAAACCCGGUGAUCUAGCCAUGGGCAGGUUGAAGGUUGGGUAACACUAACUGGAGGACCGAACCGACUAAUGUUGAAAAAUUAGCGGAUGACCUGUGGCUGGGGGUGAAAGGCCAAUCAAACCGGGAGAUAGCUGGUUCUCCCCGAAAGCUAUUUAGGUAGCGCCUCGUGAAUUCAUCUCCGGGGGUAGAGCACUGUUUCGGCUAGGGGGCCAUCCCGGCUUACCAACCCGAUGCAAACUGCGAAUACCGGAGAAUGUUAUCACGGGAGACACACGGCGGGUGCUAACGUCCGUCGUGAAGAGGGAAACAACCCAGACCGCCAGCUAAGGUCCCAAAGUCAUGGUUAAGUGGGAAACGAUGUGGGAAGGCCCAGACAGCCAGGAUGUUGGCUUAGAAGCAGCCAUCAUUUAAAGAAAGCGUAAUAGCUCACUGGUCGAGUCGGCCUGCGCGGAAGAUGUAACGGGGCUAAACCAUGCACCGAAGCUGCGGCAGCGAACGUAUCACCCAAGACAACUUUACGGAGUUGACGAUUGACGGAGCGAAGCGACGUCAAAGCGUUCAUUAAAGUCGAGUUGGCUUAGGGAUACGUUCGUUGGGUAGGGGAGCGUUCUGUAAGCCUGUGAAGGUGUGUCGUGAGGCAUGCUGGAGGUAUCAGAAGUGCGAAUGCUGACAUAAGUAACGAUAAAGCGGGUGAAAAGCCCGCUCGCCGGAAGACCAAGGGUUCCUGUCCAACGUUAAUCGGGGCAGGGUGAGUCGACCCCUAAGGCGAGGCCGAAAGGCGUAGUCGAUGGGAAACGGGUUAAUAUUCCCGUACUUGGUGUUACUGCGAAGGGGGGACGGAGAAGGCUAUGUUGGCCGGGCGACGGUUGUCCCGGUUUAAGCGUGUAGGUGUGUGUUCCAGGUAAAUCCGGUUCACUUUAACACUGAGGCGUGACGACGAGGCACUACGGUGCUGAAGCAACAAAUGCCCUGCUUC